rnacentral:rRNA from 1 species
GAUGAACGCUGGCGGCGUGCUCAACACAUGCAAGUCGAACGGAAAGGCCCCUGCUUGCUGGGGUACUCGAGUGGCGAACGGGUGAGUAACACGUGGGUGAUCUGCCCUGCACUUCGGGAUAAGCCUGGGAAACUGGGUCUAAUACCGGAUAGGACGAUGGUUUGGAUGCUAUUGUGGACAGUUUUUCGGUGUGGGAUGAGCUCGCGGCCUAUCAGCUUGUUGGUGGGGUAAUGGCCUACCAAGGCGGCGACGGGUAGCCGGACUGAGAGGGUGUACGGCCACAUUGGGACUAGGGUAAGGCCCAGACUCCUACGGGAGGCAGCGGUGGGGAAUAUAGCACUAUGGGCGCAAGCCUGAUGCAGCAACGCCGUGUGGGGGAUGACGGCCUUCGGGUUGUAAACUCCUGUCACUGGGGACGAAACGCUAGUGACAGUACCUGGUGAAGAAGCACCGGCGAACUACGUG